CGGACCGCGCUCGCUUGCGAUUUCAGUUUGUUUCAAUCGCUCGUACGCGUUAGACGUAUUCACGCAUCGCACUCUUUCGCACACGUGUCAGUCAUACACACGCACAUAUCCACGCUGUGUAUACAUUUACAAAUUCAUACGUCUGCGUGUAUAUAUACGUCAACGUAUAUCAAUUCCGCGAUUAGUUCACGCAGACUUUGAAACCGUUUCUUCAGUCAAGCAUAGCCACUCGAGCACGAAAUACUAUUUUUUCAUUUGUGCCUUUACGACAGAUCCGGCGUGUUAAAAAAGCUCGAAAGUCGCAAGCGUGUGGUCGUCGAUCCCGUUUAAAACCUCAUCGCACCACGUGUUCGCCGAGGAGCAUCGACGAUUCGUACGUUUCGACAGUUCGCUUUCCUUGAGGAAGUCCGUGCCGGUUCGAAACACGCGCUAAAGCCGCCGUAUCGACCGCCGGACGGCCGCCGCGGCGAUUGGCUCGGCCUGGGUCACGUGGUCUUCGCUAAACGUCAGUUCGGACUACUGUCUGCUGGCGGUGCCAGGCUGCCAGGCGCACUGAUCAACGUACGAUCGAGGAGAGAAGAACAAAGAGUUCCGCGGAGACGGUCUCUCCGCUGUUCUCGUUCGAGUCUCUUUAUUCCGGCACCUGGAUCCUCAUCACCAGGUCUUCGUCGUUUCGAGGUCACCUCAGGGAAUCAUCUCGCAUCACUCGAAAUUCGCGCGAACGACUCUGUGUGUCAAGUGUCAGCCGUAUCGCUUUUGACAGCUCGACGUUACGGAGUGACGGCGUCGUCGGUGGAUCCUCGUCGGUGUCAUCGGGGACGUAGGGUACGAGAGGGACAGGAGGGUCGUCAUCGACAAGACGUCGUGACUCCUCGAUUAGGUAAAUUCGCGGAACGUGGAAUAAUCUCGAUCCUCGGUGACUGUUAGUUCUUACUGCCUUUUUUUCUCUCGUCUGAGAGAGGGAGAGAAACCUUUGGAACCGAAUACACAUUCGCGAGUACGUUGGUACGCCGCGAAUUUUGAAUAGGUACUCUCCGCUGGUCGUCAGGUCGUCUCCCGCGACCUGCAGUGCGCGAGCUUAGGCAUGUACAGUAUGAACUAUAUCGCCAAGAUCAUCAGCAAUUUCCGUCUCUUCUACAACGAGAUAAACGCCGCGACCCUCACCGGUGCGAUCGACGUCAUCGUUAUCGAACAGCCGGACGGCACCUUCACGUGCUCGCCCUUUCAUGUCCGUUUCGGUAAACUCGGCGUACUUCGCUCCAGAGCGAAAGUGGUGGAUAUUGAGAUAAAUGGAGAACCUAGGGAGAUUCAUAUGAAACUUGGAGAUUCUGGCGAAGCCUUCUUUGUAGAGGAAGUUAGCUUAAAUGGAUCCCCAACGGAUGCUGAAAUUCCACCGCACUUAGCUUGUUCACCUAUACCCGAUGACAAUUGCUUUCCACCAGCAAAAUUCAAUCUCUUAUCGGAACUGCCUCAGGAGCACAGAGAGAAGAUCCUUAUAGAUUCGGUUCUUUCUAUAGAACGCGAAAAAUGGGAGCAGAUGUCCGCCUUACCACCUGAUCAACGAGAGAACUUUCUGAUAGAACAAUUUUCAGAUCUUCCUGCAGAACAUCGUGAGAAAUGGCUUCAGAUUGCUUCGUUGACUGUGGAAGAACGGGAUGAGAUGUUUAAGGAAAGUUUUGGUACGAUAUCUCCAGAGCAGAAGCAGCAGAUGAUCAGGGAACAAUAUUCUGCCUUGAAGACGGAGGACAAAGAGAAAUUGUUCAAGGAAAAUUUCCCAGAGCUUUCAAUUGAGCAGAGACAAAACUUUGAAAAAGCUUUGUUGAGCGAUUGGAAAGAGAAGGAGGAAAACUUGGAAGAAAAGCAUGAUAAGAAUGAAGACGAGGAAAUAUUUGAUAUGGAUUCUAUCAAUGAUGAACAGCCAAAAUUGCCUGUUUCUUGUCCAAAAUCUUUCGUAGCUGUUACUUCAUCUGAAAGAAUUCGCAAAAUCAGCGUGGUAAAUAAUGACUUUAGACCAAUUAUGGAUGAUCCCCAAAGUAGUAGUAAGGAAAAAUCAAGUGACGAAUCAAACUCAUCCUUGAAUAAGAUUUUGAAGGAAGAAAUCGUUGAAGAAACAAAGAGUAAUUCGACUAAGAGGAAACGCAAGAGGAAGAGUAUUAUGAAGAAAAAAGGCUCGCAGAGAAAAACCAGCAAUGGCAGUAGCAGCCAAACGGAAAUGAGCGAGACAGAUGCGAUAGUUCCUGAGGAAUCAAUUAGUGAAACUGUAAAUAUUACUUUAUUAUAUUUUCAAUUCUAUAUUAGCACAUAUAUAUAUAGAUGCACUUAUUUAUUGAAUAUUUUUAAGGGACCCACACCAGUCACAGAGAUUGAAAAGAAAAAUAUUGUUGCGGAAUCAAUAACAUGCUCUCAAGAUGCAAUUGAGAAACGUCCUGAAACUGAUUUCCAUUUCUUCAGCGACUCAGAAGUUACCAAGAACAAAGACUCCAGAUCAUGUUCACCUGUUCAAUCUGACACGGAAUUCGAAGUACGUAAAAUUACACAAGAAGGUAGUGAAAGAGAGAACGACAAGGGUCAUCAGCAGAGUUGGAGAUGGGGUGAAUUGCCUAGUCCACCUCCUGAAUCAGCGCAUAUGUCACAUAGAAAUUCAUUGAGUUCUUUAACAGCAGCUAAUCAGCCGAAUAAAGAUGCACAACGAUCUAUGCUCAGUGGCAUGUUCUCCUUUAUGAAGAAGACUUCUCGCGUAAGACACAAUCCGGAAUCAGAGGGAAUUUACCUUAGCGAUCUUAAUGCCGACGAAUUGGAUCCCGAAGUUGCGGCUCUAUACUUUCCUUCCUCACAUCGAAAUUCGACGGUGGUUAAAGAUGGAAAAGUAAUGGAUGAAGAGGAUACAGAAUCUGGUAAUGGGCCUAGCUUACCUCAAAGCCCCAAUAGUGUUGAGGGAGCCAUCGGUGGACCAAAGUCGCUGGACAGCGACUUCGAGGAACCAAAGCACUCUAUAUUCGAUAAUAAUAUAGAAAUAAGUAUGUCCCUGUGCGGUGGACUAGACAACGAAAACGGUCCAGCCAAGGAGGCUUUCCACGAAAAUUUAUUGCAUUUUGAGGACAUUUGCACUGAUCCGAAACUAUACGAAAAUCCAAACUUGGUUGUGAGAAUCAACGGAAAAUUUUACAAUUGGACUACAGCUUGUCCAAUAGUAUUGACCUACGUCGUUUUUCAAAGACACUUACCGCAACGUGCGAUCGAAAGUCUGUACAUGUCGUUGCCGGUGCACGAGGAUAAGAAGACAGAAAACAAUGGGAAGCCCGAGAGUCGUAGUGGAUACAGUUCUUGGUUUUCUUGGAGACGUUCCACGCAACCUCCCAAGAAACCACAGGACAUUAAUCCAACUGAGGAAAGUGCCGUGCAGCUAUCUGAACAGAUUCUGGAAACUAAAGUUGCAACGAAUGAAGAAACACCCUCUGCUAAUAAUGGAGAGGAAAAGACUGAGCAAGACACAGACUUGCCAAACUCGACAGAGGUGGUGGAAACUUGUACAAGAUUAACACCCGCGUCAAGCGAAACUACGCUUGCAAAGACUGAAAAAACGCGUGAGGGAGAGGGCGAAGGGUACAGCGGCGGUGAGGAUUCCGACAGUAAUCAUAAUGAAUCACCAGGUAUUAAGAUACCUAUUGAGAGAAGACCAUAUUACGAAUCCACGGAGAAAUACCGUAAAACUUUACGAUUGUCAUCUGAACAGAUUGCAAGUCUUGAUCUGAAGGACGGCGCUAACGAAGUGGUUUUCAGCGUAACCACCGCUUAUCAGGGUACGAAACGCUGCAAAUGUCACAUUUACAAAUGGAAAUGGGAUGAUAAGAUCGUCAUUUCUGAUAUCGAUGGCACUAUCACGAAAUCCGAUGUCUUGGGUCAUAUUCUACCGAUAGUAGGCAAGGAUUGGGCUCAAUCAGGAGUCGCUCAACUGUUCACUAAAAUCAAGAAUAACGGUUAUAAAUUAUUAUACCUUUCGGCGAGGGCGAUCGGGCAGGCUGGAGGCACUCGGGAAUAUCUGAGAAAUUUGAGACAAGGAGAUCUGACGUUGCCGGAGGGUCCGUUACUCUUGAAUCCUACUAGCUUGAUCUUGGCAUUCCAUCGUGAAGUAAUAGAGAAGAAGCCGGAAGAAUUCAAGAUUUCUUGUCUAAAAGAUAUUCAAGCGUUAUUCCCUGACGGAACCGAACCAUUUUAUGCUGGAUAUGGAAAUCGCAUAAAUGAUGUAUGGGCAUAUCGAGCAGUAGGCAUUCCUAUAAUGCGGAUCUUUACCAUCAACCACCGAGGGGAAUUAAAACAUGAAUUGACGCAAACAUUCCAAUCUUCUUAUGCGCGUCAAUGCAAUAUCAUCAAUGAGUUGUUCCCGCCACCAAUGCCAAACGUCUACUGAUAGCGACACAAUCAUAAAUUUUAUCAGAUGAAUUAAUUAAAUUAAUUCAAGUAUUAUGUACAGUAAAAUACCAAUGAUAUCCGGUUAUAUUUAAUGCAUUCUUGUAUUGUAUGCUUAAAACACAUUGUCUUGCAUAAUACAAUCUAUGCUUCAUUUUUCGAUAAUUGACUUAGUACAAAGUUAAAAUAUUUUUAUAUACAUGAGCAAUAUGACAGAUAUGAUGAGAUAAAGAAAAUUGCAAUUAUAAAUAUUAAACCGGAUACAUCAAAUGUAAAUUAUACAUCAAGUAAAAAUGUAAAUUAGAUACCUUAGUAUACUAUGUUUUGGGAUGUAUAUUUGGUCGCGCAACAACUCCCAUCUAUCUUCUUAUGAUUUAUAGGAUAUUCUAAUAUGAGCUUCAUCGUCGACCACGUAUUUCCGGCAUGGCGAGAGGAUGCA